AACAGGACAUGCUGAAGUGAUUCCUUCAUGAGCAGAUGUUAGAGGUCUCCUUUUGACAGCUUGUUACAAAAUUGAUCACAAAUAUACUAUUAGGUAUAUAUUGGGUGAAGGAGCAUUAUGUAUGGAACCUCUCACAAAACAGCUCCUACUUUCAAGAAUGAAAAAGGGCUGAAGCAGUGCCUACUCCAUAGAAUCAGUCAUCAUGCAAAUAAAUGCCACCUGAGUCAAAGGCAAAGCCAAAGUGCAGCUUGGAGCAAAGAAGGUACUUCUAUUAAGAAUUUUACAUAAACCGUAAGAUACAUUUUAUAUUACUUUGUGAGCCUACUUCCUGUCUUAAUUCUUUCUGAGAGAAUUCAUUUCAUUUUCAUUUGGUUUGUUUUCUCUUUGUUACAAAGAUGAUCUAUAGAAAAUAUAGAAGUAUAAGAAAAUUAAAGACACUGACUAAUAAUCACUUAAUGAUUUAGUAUCUGAUUGUUUAGUCUUUGUUAUAUUUACUAUAGAUAAACAUGUCUACAGUUGUAAAUUUAUUAUUGGUAUGUAUACCCUAGUAAAAGUUAUAUGUACUUUGAAGUUUUGCAAAAUUGUGUUCAUGUUAUAGAA
ensembl:lncRNA